UACAGAGGGGGCAAGCGUUAUUCGGAAUUAUUGGGCGUAAAGGGCGCGUAGGCGGCCUGACAAGUGGAAGGUGAAAUCCCUCGGCUUAACCGAGGAACUGCCCUCCAAACUGUUUGGCUUGAGACCGGGAGAGGUGAGUGGAAUUCCCAGUGUAGCGGUGAAAUGCGUAGAUAUUCGGAAGAACACCAGUGGCGAAGGCGGCUCACUGGACAUGUAUUGACGCUGAGGUGCGAAAGCGUGGGGAGCAAACAGG
rnacentral:rRNA from 1 species